GACGAACGCUGGCGGCGUGCCUAAUACAUGCAAGUCGAACGGUCUUUUCUAUGGAAGCUUGCUUCCGCUGAGAAGAUAGUGGCGAACGGGUGAGUAACACGUGGGUAACCUGCCCAUAAGAGGGGGAUAACAUCCGGAAACGGGUGCUAAUACCGCAUAGUUUUCUUGAUCGCAUGAUCGAGAAAGGAAAGACGGCCUUUGUGCUGUCGCUUAUGGAUGGACCCGCGGCGUAUUAGUUAGUUGGUGAGGUAACGGCUCACCAAAACGAUGAUACGUAGCCGACCUGAGAGGGUGAUCGGCCACAUUGGGACUGAGACACGGCCCAAACUCCUACGGGAGGCAGCAGUAGGGAAUCUUCCGCAAUGGACGAAAGUCUGACGGAGCAACGCCGCGUGAGUGAAGAAGGUUUUCGGAUCGUAAAACUCUGUUGUCAGAGAAGAACAAGUCGGAGAGUAACUGCUCCGGCCUUGACGGUAUCUGACCAGAAAGCCACGGCUAACUACGUGCCAGCCGCCGCCGUAACAC
rnacentral:rRNA from 1 species